AGGAGGAGGAAGGUAGGAGGGGGAGAGGGAAGGAGGAAUGAGGAGGAGGAAGAGGGGGAAAGAAGAGGAAGGAAGGAGAGGGAGAGGGAAGGAGGUAUGUGGAGGAGGAGGAGGAGGGAAGAAGAGAAAGAGGAAGAUAAAAUGGGAAGAAGGGAGAGGAAGAGGAGGAGGAGAGGGAAGGAGGUAGGAAGAGGAGGGAAAGAAGUGAGGAGAAGAGGAGGAAGAGGAAGGAAAGAGAGGGAGAGGGAAGGAGGUAUGUGGAGGAGGAGGAGGGAAGAAGAGAAAGAGGAAGAUAAAAUGGGAAGAAGGGAGAGGAAGAGGAGGAGGAGAGGGAAGGAGGUAGGAAGAGGAGGAGGAGGAAAGAGAACGAGGAAGAUAAAAGGGGAAGAAGUGAGCAGAAGAGGAGGAGGAGGAAGAGGAAGGUAGGAGGAGGAGGAGGAGGAGGAAGAGGUGGAAGAGGAAAUCAUAAAAAUUCUAAAACAUGAUAAAAAAAAAAAUAUCAAAAUACAAAACAAAUAAAUCAACAAAUAAAAAAAUACAUCUUUUUUUUUUCCUCAUUUCACACAAUUUUUUCUUACUCAUAAAAAAACAAAACAAAAAUAAAUAAAUAAAAUAACAAAUACAACUACAUUUUUAUCCUCAUUAUCUCAUCACU